GGCUGGUUAGCUCAGUCAGUUGAGCGUAGCGCUAACAGCGCUAAGGUCAUGGGUUCGAUUCCCUCUCGGUCC
rnacentral:tRNA from 1 species